rnacentral:rRNA from 1 species
CAGCAGCCGCGGUAAUACAAGGGGGGCAAGCGUUGUUCGGAUUUAUUGGGCGUAAAGGGUGCGUAGGCGGUUUGGCAAGUCUUGUGUGAAAUCUUCGGGCUCAACCCGAAGCCUGCACGAGAAACUACCGGGCUUGAGUAUUGGAGAGGUGAGUGGAAUUUCCGGUGUAGCGGUGAAAUGCGUAGAUAUCGGAAGGAACACCUGUGGCGAAAGCGGCUCGCUGGACAAUAACUGACGCUGAUGCACGAAAGCUAGGGGAGCAAACAGGAUUAGAUACCCGCGUAGUCCCUGUCUCUUAUAC